AGGGUGCGAGCGUUGUCCGGAAUUAUUGGGCGUAAAGAGCUCGUAGGCGGUGUGUCGCGUCGGCCGUGAAAACUUGGGGCUUAACUCUGAGCGUGCGGUCGAUACGGGCAUCACUUGAGUUCGGCAGGGGAGACUGGAAUUCCUGGUGUAGCGGUGAAAUGCGCAGAUAUCAGGAGGAACACCGGUGGCGAAGGCGGGUCUCUGGGCCGAUACUGACGCUGAGGAGCGAAAGCAUGGGGAGCAAACAGG
rnacentral:rRNA from 1 species